UACAGAGGUCUCAAGCGUUGUUCGGAUUCAUUGGGCGUAAAGGGUGCGUAGGCGGCGCGGUAAGUCGGGUGUGAAAUCUCGGAGCUUAACUCCGAAACUGCAUUCGAUACUGCCGUGCUUGAGGACUGGAGAGGAGACUGGAAUUACGGUGUAGCGGUGAAUGCGCAGAUAUCAGGGAGGAACACCGGUGGCGAAGGCGACAUCCUGGACCAACACUGACGCUGAGGAGCGAAGCCAGGGAGCAACGG
rnacentral:rRNA from 1 species